CCUACGGGAGGCAGCAGUGGGGAAUAUUGGGCAAUGGAGGAAACUCUGACCCAGCGACGCCGCGUGCGGGAUGAAGGCCUUCGGGUUGUAAACCGCUUUCAGCAGGGAAGAAGCGAAAGUGACGGUACCUGCAGAAGAAGCACCGGCUAACUAUGUGCCAGCAGCCGCGGUAAUACAUAGGGUGCAAGCGUUGUCCGGAAUUAUUGGGCGUAAAGAGCUCGUAGGUGGUUCGUCACGUCGGAUGUGAAAAUCUGGGGCUUAACCCCAGACCUGCAUUCGAUACGGGCGAGCUUGAGUAUGGUAGGGGAGUCUGGAAUUCCUGGUGUAGCGGUGGAAUGCGCAGAUAUCAGGAGGAACACCAAUGGCGAAGGCAGGACUCUGGGCCAUUACUGACACUGAGGAGCGAAAGCGUGGGGAGCGAACAGGAUUAGAUACCCUGGUAGUCCACGCCGUAAACGGUGGGCACUAGUUGUGGGGACCUUCCACGGUCUCUGCGACGCAGCUAACGCAUUAAGUGCCCCGCCUGGGGAUCGAUCGCAAGNUUAAAACNCAAAUGAAUUGACGG
rnacentral:rRNA from 1 species